rnacentral:rRNA from 1 species
AGUGAACGCUGGCGGUAGGCCUAACACAUGCAAGUCGAACGGCAGCACAGUAAGUUCUUGCUCUUACGGGUUGCGAGAGGCGGACGGGUUACAUAUACAUCGGUAUCUACGUUUUCGUGGGGGAUAACGUAGGGAAAUUUACGCUAAUACCGCAUACGGCCUACGGGUGAAAGCAGUUGAUCUUUGGCCCUUUCGCGAUUGAAUGAGCCGAUGUCGGAUUAGCUAGUUGGCGGGGUAAAGGCCCACCAAGGCGACGAUCCGUAGCUGGUCUGAGAGGAUGAUCAGCCACACUGGAACUGAGACACGGUCCAGACUCCUACGGGAGGCAGCAGUGGGGAAUAUUGGACAAUGGGCGAAAGCCUGAUCCAGCCAUACCGCGUGGGUGAAGAAGGCCUUCGGGUUGUAAAGCCCUUUUGUUGGGAAAGAAAAGCAGCAGGUUAAUACCCCGCUGUUAUGACGGUACCCAAAGAAUAAGCACCGGCUAACUUCGUG